UCCUUGGUGGCUCAGAUGGUAAAGUCUCUGCCUGCAAUGCGGAAGAUCCGGGUUCAAUCCCUGGGUCAGGAA
rnacentral:tRNA from 1 species